UAGGGAAUCUUCGGCAAUGGACGGAAGUCUGACCGAGCAACGCCGCGUGAGUGAAGAAGGUUUUCGGAUCGUAAAGCUCUGUUGUUAGAGAAGAACGUUGGUAGGAGUGGAAAAUCUACCAAGUGACGGUAACUAACCAGAAAGGGACGGCUAACUACGUGCCAGCAGCCGCGGUAAUACGUAGGUCCCGAGCGUUGUCCGGAUUUAUUGGGCGUAAAGCGAGCGCAGGCGGUUCUUUAAGUCUGAAGUUAAAGGCAGUGGCUUAACCAUUGUACGCUUUGGAAACUGGAGGACUUGAGUGCAGAAGAGGAGAGUGGAAUUCCAUGUGUAACGGUGAAAUGCGUAGAUAUAUGGAGGAACACCGGUGGCGAAAGCGGCUCUCUGGUAUGUAACUGACGAUGAGGCUCGAAAGCGUGGGGAGCAAACAGG
rnacentral:rRNA from 1 species